UACAAUUGCAGUUGCUUAGCAAAAAAAUGUUAGUCGGAAAAAGCAAAAGUGGAUGGUGUGGUGCCAGUAAGAUGGUAUCGAUAUGAUCUAGUCUCAAUUAAGUUAGUCGUAGACUGUUUACUGUUUGACUCUGUCCCAAUCUAAUCUAGUGGGUUCAAAAUGAAAAGACCGCGCUAGAAACAUGAAGGUGUUAAAAGGAUCAGCUCUUUUUGAAUUAACAGUCAAAGUCGUAACUAGCUAGAAGUCGUAACCAGCUCGAAUGAAAGGAUUUCUCGACGUGAAAUUGUUAAUUUUAUUCAACAACGCCAAGAAACAGAGCUCUCUCAAGAAACAGAAAAGAAAGAGAAAGAUGAAAAAAUAUUCUG